AAUCAAUGGUGAGAACAUAAUUGAAUAAACAUUUUGAAGUGUUCCAAUGCCUCAUAAAACCUUUUUCCUUCCAUAUGUCUAAAGACAACAAUCUCUCUUUUUAGCU
rnacentral:snoRNA from 1 species